rnacentral:rRNA from 1 species
UACGAAGGGGGCUAGCGUUGCUCGGAAUUACUGGGCGUAAAGCGCACGUAGGCGGCUUUCUAAGUCGGGGGUGAAAUCCUGGAGCUCAACUCCAGAACUGCCUUCGAUACUGGAGAGCUCGAGUCCGGGAGAGGUGAGUGGAACUGCGAGUGUAGAGGUGAAAUUCGUAGAUAUUCACAAGAACACCAGUGGCGAAGGCGGCUCACUGGACCGGUACUGACGCUGAGGUGCGAAAGCGUGGGGAGCAAACAGG